rnacentral:rRNA from 1 species
GUCCUCUUGAUUAUAAUUUGAGGUCUGACCUGCCCAAUGAUUAAUUUAAUGGCCGCAGUAUAUUGACUGUGCUAAGGUAGCAUAAUAAUUAGUUUCUUAAUUAGAAGCUUGUAUGAAAGGUUUAAUGAAAAAAUAACUGUCUUGUAAUUAAUAUUAAAAUUUUAUUUUUAAGUCAAAAAGCUUAAAUAUGCUUACGGGACGAGAAGACCCUAUAGAAUUUUAUAAAUUUUUAUUUAUCAAAUUUAGAAUUUAUUUUAUUAAUUAUAUAAUUUAUUUGGUUGGGGUGACUAAAAAAUUGAUUUAACUUUUUUUUUUUAUAACAAUAAUUAUUGAUUUUUUGAUCCAUUAUUAUGAUUAAAAGAGUAAAUUACCUUAGGGAUAACAGCGUAAUAAUUUUUUAGAGUUCAUAUUAAAAAAAUUGAUUGCGACCUCGAUGUUGGAUUAAAGUUUCUUUUUGGUGCACCACCUAAAUAAGUAGGUCUGUUCGACCUUUAAAACUCUACA